AGGCAGUGGGAUGUUCGGCUGUCUGUGGCGCAGUCUGCCGUGUUGUGCGAUAUAGCCGCUGGACCGACUAAACGGUGGGUUGUGUGACUGUCUGAAGCCUAUUCAGCUCCAGUCGUCGCCCAUUUGCCGGCCCAGUGUGUUUUCGCCCAAUCGGCGGCUGUUGCAUUAACUGCAGCCGGGGCCCCUGCUGGUCCGGUGUGUUUUCGCCCAGCCGGUGGCUUGUCUGCGCGCCUGGUGUUCGUGCACUCGGCUGUCUGUUCGGGGCUGCGUUGGGCCUGCGGGUGCUCAUGUGUCUGGUCUGGUCCGCUGGCCUGGGGCGUGUCGCGGCUUAGCUGGGGGCCCGACGGGUCAUAAAUUUAAAAGAAGGUUGCUGAGAAGCAGCAACGGUUACUAACAAGUAUUAACAAAUUGCUGAGAAGCAGCAAUUAAAAGGGGUUGCUGAGAAGCAGCAACUGUUACUAACAGGUAUUAGAGUAGAAAAUUGCUGAGAAGCAGCAAUGGUUACUAACAAGUAUUAACAAAUUGCUGAGAAGCAGUAAUUAAAAGGGGUUGCUGAGAAGCAGCAACUGUUACUAACAGGUAUUAGAGUAGAAAAUUGCUGAGAAGCAGCAAUGAGUAGAAGGUUGCUGAGAAGCAGCAAUGGUUACUAACAAGUAUUAACAAAUUGCUGAGAAGCAGCAAUUAAAAGGGGUUGCUGAGAAGCAGCAACUGUUACUAACAGGUAUUAGAGUAGAAAAUUGCUGAGAAGCAGCAAUUAAAAGAAGAGUAGAGAAUUGCUGGGAAGCGGCAACAAGUACUAACAAUUUGCUGGGAAGCGGCAAUUAAAGUAGGUCACUGAAAAGCCUACGGGAUGGUGACCCUGGCCAGAAAUGUGUGAAUGCUCCGGCGCUGGUGUGAAUGAGAAGUGAGUUUUGUGAGUCUUAAGUGCUUUGUCAGUCUUACAUGUUGUCUUGUGUAUUGUCUUGUGCGCAAAGGUGACCUAACAAUUUAAUUUGCACAGGGUGUUAAUAUGAACAGGGGCCCCACUAGUUCAACAGCACUGUAAAAAAGGAAUGUGUAAUAAUGGUAUUGGUGUGAAGGUUUGAAGUUCAGGAACACAACGGCUGUUCCUUACAAGGGGAAGUAGGCCAUAUUACUGAAGGUUUCACGUAUAUGAGUAUAUGUGCUAGAAUAUAAAUAAUAUUAUUUAACCACGCUAGCAUAACAAAACAAAUGCACAAUCCUUUGUGGAGAUUGGGGUGCGGCCUUGAGAUCGGCCUGUGCCUGCUGGGCCGUGUCACCCUCGCCAUUGUUCUGCUUUUGUAAUCACUUAUAACGCAUGUGUGUGUGUAUAUGUGUGUAUAUAUAUAUAUAUAUGUGUGUGUGUAUGUGUAUGUACGUAUAUAUGUACAUAUUCAUGUUUUAAGAAGGUAGCGGGGAAAUGUAUGAUAUUUUUGUGAUUGCAUGCGUGCUUUGUUAUUUAGACUACAAAAUUCAUGAAGCGUACGAUCACACCCGUCAUAGUCAUGGUCUGACAGUGUGUAAGAGGCGCAAUAUAUAUAUAUAUAUAUAUAGUAAUCCUGAAAAAUUUAAAUUAAGUGCUGUGGCCACAAAGGAUCAGAAUUGAUCCUAUCUAAGAUUACUAGCUGAAGUGUUGAUCAUGCUGAUUCACUCAUUAUCCAAAAGAGCAAACAGAGCAAUUUUCGAAAAACAUUUUGUGUUUAAAUUUUAGUGACGAUUCUGACUGCAGCAACGAGGGGAUUUUAACUGAAAAGUGGGUAUAUGAGACGCGUAGAUUGAACAGACUGUGUGUUUACUGUAGACAAAAAGCAGUGGAACGCAAUACGCAGUGCAAACUUACACAGGAUUGUGUUAGUGGACACAGCAUACGCGGCAUUGUGAAGAAAAUCAACUCAAAAGGUUGUUGUAAUUUGCCUCAAUAACUGUCAUAUGGGGACAUAGAAACACAAGGGAUUAGGACACAUUUUUGGCUAGACCUAUUUAGACUCAGAGGGAGUUGAGCACCGACAGGACACACUGCUGAUUAAUUUAAAGUUUUGGCAGCUUACUAAGUGGGUUAAUUUGAGGCAGGUUCAGACAGGUUUUCCAGACGUGCAGUGGUUAUCGCUAUUGUGACAACUGUGGACGGCAGGAACGUUGGGAUUAGAGAGUGUAGCGACCCUACCGCUUGCAUCACACUUGGGGAUACCAAAGGGAUUUGCUACUGCAGGAUGGGAAGACUGUUGUUGAAUCUGCGACUGUUAUGGUUAGCCCAAGAAGGGUUAAGUGGGAGACAGGUGAGUGGGCAGACAUUAAAAGGGUGAAAGGGUCUGAUAAUUCAGAAACACUGACCUUUGAGCAAGAAAAUAUAAAGCUGGGGUCACAGUUGGAUAGAUUAAAAGCAGAAUUAGAAUAGCAGGAAAAUAAUACUAAAAAGGGAGGCAGGAUAUAUGUGUUGUUUGUCAAAGU